rnacentral:rRNA from 1 species
ACUCGAGUGGCGAACGGGUGAGUAACACGUGGGUGAUCUGCCUUGCACUCUGGGAUAAGCUUGGGAAACUGGGUCUAAUACCGGAUAGGAACCGUCUUUAGUGUGGUGGUUGGAAAGUUUUUUCGGUGCAAGAUGAGCUCGCGGCCUAUCAGCUUGUUGGUGGGGUAAUGGCCUACCAAGGCGUCGACGGGUAGCCGGCCUGAGAGGGUGGACGGCCACAUUGGGACUGAGAUACGGCCCAG